UACGAAGGGGGCUAGCGUUGUUCGGAAUUACUGGGCGUAAAGCGCACGUAGGCGGAUAUUUAAGUCAGGGGUGAAAUCCCAGAGCUCAACUCUGGAACUGCCUUUGAUACUGGGUAUCUUGAGUAUGGAAGAGGUAAGUGGAAUUGCGAGUGUAGAGGUGAAAUUCGUAGAUAUUCGCAGGAACACCAGUGGCGAAGGCGGCUUACUGGUCCAUAACUGACGACUG
rnacentral:rRNA from 1 species